rnacentral:lncRNA from 1 species
GUUAGCUUACCUGGGCAGCUGUGCUACUCCUUCUGCAUGAUAGCUCUCUCAGCCACAACAGUCAGGGAUGGACCUGGCAAGGGGUUUAAGUUACCAAGCAUCUACUGAGGAAGUUUAUGCUGAAAACUCCUAUUCAGAUUGUUAGAAACAGCCAAAUACGCCUUAUUUUUUUUUUUCUAUUUUAAGUCCUAAAUAGCUAGAUUCAAAUUUGGAUUAAUGGGUACAUUGGGGAAUGAAGUAUUCUGACUCAUUUUAUUUUCUGAUAAAACCCUCAAGUUAACCAGAAAACCAUUUUUCUCAAAAAAAAAAAAAGAAAGAAAAACAACUGUACCCAAAAAUGUUUCUAAAAUGUUUACUUUCCUCUCUUUGUAAACAUAGUGACAAUAUUUGUGCUUUCCCGGUGAUGUGUGAAUCAUGAGUUUAAACAGCAGUUCCCAUGGAAGAGAUCACAGGAAGAAACUAAACCAGAGCAUGCCUCAGCCCAGUGAUGACAUCAGAGAAGCCUCAGGCACAUCAUCCAAUCUCUGAGUACUGCUUUUCUACUAUGGGGAGAGAAAAUGAAGAUGCAAUUGAAUUCACUUGUUUAGGUUUCUGCCUCCUCCACCUUUCAUCCGCUGGCAACACGAGUGUGUCUCAGCUCUCACAGGGCCACACUCAGUUCAGUCUGCAGGCCACAGUUCAGUCUGCAGGCCAUGUUGGGAUCUGCUUCUCCAGGGAUCGGCCAGAGACCUCUGAGGCUCUCAGUCCUUUCUUCUACAGCUACUGUCUUCCCCGGACUCCUGAGAAAUUCCUCCAGACCUUGUACUCUCCCACACUACUUGUCAACUCCCCCCUCCACCUCUUGGAACCCCAAUCACCAAAGUUUAAC